AAAGAGUUUUAGUAAAUGAGGAUUACGAAGAAUUGCAGUGUAAAACCCAAAUUUGUAAUAUGCCCUCCUUUUUGGCUUUCAUGUUUAUAUUAACAAUCACGUUCUAGUUUCAUCUCAGCUUUUUCUUUUUCCAUCAAAUGAUACUGUUUUUUUUUUUAAUACAUAAUGGAAAUAACAAUUGAUUUAUAGUACUCUUUAAGAUUUCAUUUGCUAAUGAUGCAACAACAACAUGGGAAGAGUACAAAAAGAAAACCUUUCUCGUGCCAUGAAGAGGUGACGGUGUGAGUAUCUGAAGAGUAAUAAGAUUUGUUGACAUUUUAGCCAAUUGGCUCCAAUUUGUUUGAUUUGGAUAAGCGUCUCUUGGUUUCCAGCUGAUUGGUCCCAAUGUUGUUCGAUCAAAUUUAGAUCGUCAUCUCUGAUAUUUACUAAUGGAAGCAAGGCUGCUCUUGUUUUGAAAUAUACUUGGUAGAAACAAGUCCUUGCAUGAUUUUUUCCCUUAUGAAGUGGCAAUCGAUUUCUAUGUGCUUGGUUCUUUCAUGAUAAACAGGGUUUGUUGCAAUUUGAAUUGCUGUCACUGAAAAUGUCUGUUGGACUGUUGAUAUCUACUCCCACUUCCUUCAUUAAUCCUAGCAACCAAAUAAGUUCUAAAACUGUAGAAGCAAUACUUAUGUACUCUGCUUCUGCAGAGCUUCUAGAAAUAGUGGUUUGUUUCUUAGACUUCCAAGUAAUAAGUGACUCACCUAACUUGAUGAAAUAGCCAGUUACUGAUUUUCUUGAAAUGUGGCAUGAAGCCCAGUCAGUAUCACAGUAUGCAGUGAUGGUUUUUAAUCUUUGUUUGAUGGUAGCACACUUUGUCCAGGUUGGUUUUUCAAA